rnacentral:rRNA from 1 species
GUGAGGAAUAUUGGUCAAUGGACGAGAGUCUGAACCAGCCAAGUCGCGUGAAGGAAGACGGUUCUAUGAAUUGUAAACUUCUUUUGUGCAGGAAUAAAGUGGGUUACGUGUAACCUUUUGUAUGUACUGUACGAAUAAGGAUCGGCUAACUCCGUGCCAGCAGCCGCGGUAAUACGGAGGAUCCGAGCGUUAUCCGGAUUUAUUGGGUUUAAAGGGUGCGUAGGUGGAUUGAUAAGUCAGCGGUGAAAGUUUGCAGCUUAACUGUAAAAUUGCCGUUGAAACUGUCGGUCUUGAGUGCAAAUGAGGUAGGCGGAAUGUGUUGUGUAGCGGUGAAAUGCUUAGAUAUAACACAGAACGCCGAUUGCGAAGGCAGCUUACUGGGAUGCAACUGACACUGAUGCACGAAAGCGUGGGUAUCAAACAGGAUUAGAUACCCGAGUAGUCC